UCCCUCCCGAAAAAGAACAAAGCUCCCCCUCAGUGCGCGCGUCCCGUCGAGGACGAGCACGUAGUACGGAGGCAUGAAUGGACAAACUUACGCCGGUGCGGCUGCGCUCGGCACGAACCGCUGCCAUUCGGCGUUUUUGGCGCAGCCGGCAGGUUGUACGGCUACCCCGGUUGCUGCUGCUUACUUUUACCGGCAGGUUGCUACCGACGCCCCGUUUAGAGGCAGUGUAACGGUCGCUGCUGACAGAAAGAAGCUGCAGGAAGAGGUCUCACUCUGUCCGUAAUACCUGCUGAGAUCAACACUGUCACACCCAUGGCUGCAAGUGGAUAUAUUAAAAACAAUACGUUGUGAAUGAGUGAAGGAGUGACUCCCUUGUAAGAAGAAAAGACCUUCAGCAAAACCAGGAUCAGGGACAGCAGCCAUCUGCCUCGACUGGUUCAGCAGGUUGUCUGGUUUGAUGUCUCUGUGGAUGAAGCCCAGCUGGUGGAUGGAGUCGAUGGCCAGAACCGUCUCUGCGAUGUAGAACUGCGUGGCUUCUUCAGACAGAGUGUCCUUCUUCAUCAGCAGCGUCAUCAUGUCGCCUGGCAACAAGUGUUGGUUCAGACUGCCGACUCUAAAACAAAAGCAAACAAUGAGGACGGACAAACAUCCUGGAAAUGUACUUGUCAGCUACAGAGACACUGGAUGGCGAUUAUAAGGAGAAUGAAGAAGCCCAUCAUUCAUUUACAAGGACACUACAUCACAUUAGAGCUGUAUUUAAUCCAGAAGAAACAGCUUGAAAUUUAAACAUAUUUCUGCGACCGUACAUUUGAGAAGUAUUUUCUCUACAAGGCCACAUAUUGUCAAAUUGAAAGUGAUGUGUGGCCCUCGAGUGGGAGGAAUAAAAACCACACAGAGCGGAAGAAGCACUCACAUUCUAGUGAGGUGGAGGCCACAAGUGGUAGUAGGUUGUCUGAAUAGAAAACAAACACCAAUGAUGACGUAAAAGAACGCAAUGAAGCACUAAAAGUUUCAUUUUUAUUCCUUUUAAACUUUCCAUUUGUUGGGUUUCUCUGUUUAAAAUGUGUAAGGUUUACUAUGUGAAGCGCUAUGAGAUGACAUGUUGUGAGAUGACAUUCAAGAGUUUGGGGUCACUUAGAAAUGUCCUUAUUUUUUAAAGAGAAGCAGUUUUUUUCAUUGAAGGUAACAUUAAAUGAAUCAGAAAUCCAGUCUAAACAUUGUUGAUGUGGUAAAUGACUAUUCUAGCUGGAAACAGCUGAUUUUUAAUGGAAUAUCUCCAUAGGGGUACAGAGGAACAUUUCCAGCAACCAUCACUCCUGUGUUCUAAUGCUACAUUGUGUUAGCUAAUGGUGUUGAAAGGUUGAUUGAUGAUUAGAAAACCCUUGUGCAGUUAUGUUAGGACAUGAAUAAAAGUGUGAGUUUUCAUGGAAAACAUGAAAUUGUCUGGGUGACCCCAAACUUUUGAACGGUAGCGUAAAUAAAAGUGAAUUGAACUGAAAACUAAUAGAAUAUCAGAAAGCUCAGACUGUGAACGUAUUAUGUAAGAGGGGCCAAGAAUGAGGGUGGAUGUGUAUAUCAUCAAAACAUUUCAGCAGUACGCCAUCAGAAAGGUAUGAAUAGGCUUGAUUGGCUCACAAAGAGAUAAAACAGCGCUGCAGUCCAGAGAUAGCAGCCAUGUUUCGUCUAGUCACCGGGCCUUUUCCCGUUUUGGCCCCAACAAUCCCACAACAACAAGACACUUCCUGACUCCUGACUUCUGAGGAAAAAAAAUCUCUGAAUAAUUGCUGCAUGCUGCUUAGUUUGGGAGGAAAACAGGGACACUGGCUAACCAGGGGUAUUGAGUUACUGAGGUGUGUGCUGAUUUCCCUGCAUACAGCACAGGUAGGAAGCUGAGCUCACUAAUAAAAACUGAACAAACACAAAGCAGCACAAGCAGACUGUUGGAGUUCUGGUGCUCUCAUGUGAUGUUGCUUACUAAGACCCUCAGUGUGCUGUGCAUGAAAAUGCACCUCACAACGCUAAGCUAACAGGCGCACAGCUUAACCAGGUACUUGUGUCCUUUUUGAUUAAAAACUGCUAAUUAAGGUCACUCAGCUUGUGCAGAAUGCUGUGUGGUGAACUGCUGUACUAAUGUAGUUGUAGGACAUUUCCUCUGUCACUUCAGAUUCUUCUCCAGUCACUGACUACCUUGAUAAUCCUGUGUAGUACCUCACACUGGGGCUGGACUAAAAAGAAAAUGUACAAAUUAAAAAUGUUAUAGAUAGGCACUGCAAGCUGCAUACUUUUCCAAAGAAAUGUCAGUGAAAUGUCAAUAUGAGUUGUCUUUGGGAGUGAAUGAAAAUGCAUGGAGCGGUAUGGAAUACUGCUAUUCACACAUGUAGCCUGAAUCUGAUAAUUCUAACCAUAAAUUUCUAUUUUACUCACAUUUUCCCAAAUACAUACAUUAAAUAUUCUUAAUACUGUACAGUAAGGCUUCCUUUGCUAAACAGUGAUGAGCAUAAUUUGUUGUUUAGCUGGAAAGAAUGUUUGUAAGGCUAUUAUUAUCAUUAUGAAGCUGAUGAAAUGGGCCUUUAUGUAACAGACAUUUUAACAUCACUGUUGUCAUAGUAGGAAGAGCACCAGAGUUACUGAUAAACCAGCAUUGCAUAGUAACAGGGCCAUGUUCCUUGAAAGUGGCUCAACUAAAUCAGGCUAAAAUCCAUCCAUCCAUUAUCUAUACACCGCUUAAUCCUCAUUAGGGUCAUGGGGGGCUGGAGUCUAUCCCAGCUGACUUAGGGUGAAGGCAAGGGACACCUGGACAGGUCACCAGUCUAUCACAGGGCUACACAUAGAGGCAAACAAUCACACUCACAUUCACACCUACAGACAGUUUAGAAUCACCAAUUAACCUCAGCAUGUUUUUGGACUGUGGGAGGAAGCUGGAGAAACCCACACAUUCACAGGGAGAACAUGCAAACUCCAUGCAGAAAGAUCCCGGGAAGGCCAGGACGCGAACUGGGGAUCUUUGAGCUGCAAAGUGCUAACCACCAAUCCACUGUGCAUAUUAGGCAAAAAUAAUCCUGUUAAGUGUCAUCUAUUCUACUCAGUUCUUUCAAAGUGGUUUGAUCAAUGAGUUGUUAAUCCUUGACCAUUCUGAUUGAGUUAUACAUACACUUUUAGCCACCUUUUAAAAGCAAACAACUCAAGUCAAAACAGGAACAAUCUAAUCUAGAUAACCAAAUUAGCAACAUUUAGCAACAUAUAAAAAAGCAGCUACGUUCCGCAAACAUGCUUUUCCUGCUGAGACUGUCUCUGGAUCUGUUCCGUAGAAAGGCCUGGCAGUAACAGCUGUAGCAUCGCCCUCAGUGAGUUUUAUUUUCUCACCAAGGUGGAAAACGAAGCAUCAUUCAAACAGUUGCAUCACAGCUGAGACAGCCAGGCCUUAAACUCUGCCUUAAGGGAUUGAGUUUGGCAAGAUGUUAACCAGAUCCACCUGACGGCUAAACAAAUAUGGCUGCAACACUCAGGCACUUAAAAGGAAAUCACUACAAAAGCAGCUUCACUAUUUAGAAAACGAGUCCAGAAAUGACUUCAUUAAAGCAUGUGCUACCAAAGACAAGUUUUAAAGAAAUGUACUAGAACUGUACUGCACAAAAUAUACAUUAUAGUCCCAUAAAAUAUAUUAAUGUCCUUCUAAUACUUGAAAGGAAGUGUUAACGGUACUAAGCCAUGCAGGUUGUUUGGGUUUAAUGUGCCAGGCUUUCAUAUAGUGAAACAUACACCCCAAAAUUAAAGAUAACACAUUCUUAUGAAGUAUUUUUUAAAGACACGGUGUCCCACAUACUCCUACUACAACUGUAUAAUCAACAGUUCUCAAAGAAGUUUCAACCACAGAUAAGAAACUACAUCCCUAAUGAAAAGAGCUGAGAUCUGUUGAUUAUUAUGUAGUUAUUAUGUGUCAUAAGUUAUAAUAGUCAACAACCAACAACAGCUAACUUACAAUAAAAUAUUGCUCCUGUUGAAACUCUGGAAUUCACAGUCUGACCUGGCUAGUAAUGAGCUGAGAGUUCAAAUAUUUGGGUUUCACUUCAAUUUCUGGCAGAAGUUCCAGAGUGAAACUUUUUUUUUUAUCCUUAAAAGGUUGAUUUCUCCAUCUGGUGUGAAAUUCUCCAGUUAGUGAGUCCCACACAGACACACUCCACCCUUUAAGUACUGUAAGUGACUGCACAGGAAACCCUUUCCGUCCUGAAUGAAAGGACUCAGUCAUGACGCCCGGGAGGGGAAAGGGAUGCAUACACAUGUGCUCUUAUACACGUUCUACAAACACACACACACACACUGAAAUCCAAACACUAAAAUAACAUAUAUUGGCUUAAGCCAGGGGUGUCAAACAUGUGGCCCGCGGGCGAAAACCGUCCCUCCAGAGUGUCCAAUCCGACCCACAGGACGACUUUGUAAAGUGUAAAAAUUACAGAGAAGACAUUAACUGCAAAUUUUAAAUUUGUAAAACUAUAAAUUUAAAAUAAUCUCUAGACCCCAACAAGUUGUUUUGUUCAUAAUGAUCAAAAGGAAUCAUAAUGUUCCUCUAUUUUAAUGUUUGCUGAUUUUAUAUGUAAAGUGUCUGAGUGUUUUGAAAAGCGCUAUACAAAUAAAAUGUAUUAUUAUUAUUAUAAUUAUAAAGUUAAAUACUAGAUUGUUCAUUGUUCUUUUGUCAUUUUGUGCCUCUUUUUGUAAUAUUUUGUCUUGUUUUUUUGUCUGACUUUUGUCUUUUGUCUCAUGUUUUUGUCCUUUUGUUUCUCGUUUGUCUUUUUCUGUUUCCCUUUUGUCUUGUUUUUGUUGUUUUGUGUAUUUUUU